AGUCAGUACUGCAAGACGAGAGGCAGAGCCAGGCCCUAAUCCUGAAGAUUGCAGAUUAUUACUAUGAAGAAAGAACCUGUAUCCUUCGUUGUGUCUUACACCUUCUCACUUACUUCCAAGAUGAAAGACACCCCUAUAGGGUUGAGUAUGCAGACUGUGUUGAUAAAUUGGAGAAGGAGCUAGUUACAAAAUACAGACAGCAGUUUGAAGAGCUUUAUAAAACUGAAGCACCAACGUGGGAGACACAUGGAAACCUCAUGGUAUGUGGUUAGUGGGGCCUCC